UGGUAGCUUGAUUAUUGGCUAUGCCAGGA
rnacentral:piRNA from 1 species